AUUGAACGCUGGCGGCAGGCCUAACACAUGCAAGUCGGACGGUAGCACAGAGGAGCUUGCUCCUCGGGUGACGAGUGGCGGACGGGUGAGUAAUGUCUGGGGAUCUGCCCGAUAGAGGGGGAUAACCACUGGAAACGGUGGCUAAUACCGCAUAACGUCGCAAGACCAAAGAGGGGGACCUUCGGGCCUCUCACUAUCGGAUGAACCCAGAUGGGAUUAGCUAGUAGGCGGGGUAACGGCCCACCUAGGCGACGAUCCCUAUCUGGUCUGAAAGGAUGACCAGCCACACUGGAACUGAGACACGGUCCAGACUCCUACGGGAGGCAGCAGUGGGGAAUAUUGCACAAUGGGCGCAAGCCUGAUGCAGCCAUGCCGCGUGUAUGAAGAAGGCCUUCGGGUUGUAAAGUACUUUCAGCGGGGAGGAAGGCGAUGUGGUUAAUAACCGCAUUGAUUGACGUUACCCGCAGAAGAAGCACCGGCUAACUCCGUGCCAGCAGCAGCCGCGG
rnacentral:rRNA from 1 species